GCCUCAGUGGUGUAGUGGUGGAGCACGCGACCCCGGAUAGGAUAUGUAAACGUGGGUUUCGAUUCCCGCCUGAGUCG